UUGGACAAUCAAUGGAUGAAACCCGGGGUUAAAGCACUACGAACAAUCAUACUACGUUAUUUAACUUCAUUAGUUAAAUUACUUAUCUUGGUUGUUGAUUCCUAGGGUUUAUCGCAUGAUCAUGGUCUCCUCACCUCUAAUUGUCUACCUAACUUGGACAUUACAACUACAUCAUUGAGCGGGGAUGUAAUAAUCCAAUUAGAUGCAUAAAGCUAUCAUCCUACAUGUGAACUAAUAAAGUCAUCUAGGUAUAUCCCUAUCCUAGAUUCUAAUUCAAAUUCCUUAUUUUAUAAAAGAAUAAGAACCUUACUCUAUUUAUCCUCACGU
rnacentral:lncRNA from 1 species